UCCCUGGUAGUCCAGUGGAUAAGACUCUGGGCUCGCAAUGCAGGGGUCCUGGGUUCAAUCCCUGGUCAGAGAA
rfam:Ovis aries breed Texel chromosome 12, whole genome shotgun sequence.